rnacentral:rRNA from 1 species
GAUGAACGCUGGCGGCGUGCCUAAUACAUGCAAGUCGAGCGAACAGACGCGGAUCUUGCUCCUCUGACGUUAGCGGCGGACGGGUGAGUAACACGUGGAUAACCUCCCUAUAAGUCUGAUAUAACUUCGGGAAACCGGAGCUUAUACCGGAUAAUCUACUGCACCGCAUGGUUCAAUAGUGAAAUACGGUUUUUGUGUCACUUAUAGAUGGUUCCCGGCCGCAUUAGCUAGUUGGUAAGGUAACGGGUUACUAAGGGAAGGCUGCGUAGCCGACCUGAGAGGGUGAUCGGCCACACUGGAACUGAGACACGGUCCAGACUACUACGGGAGGCAGCAGAAGCGAAUCUGCCGCAAUGGGCGAAAGCCUGACGGAGUAACGCCGCGUGAGUGAUGAAGGUCUUCGGAUCGUAAAACUCUGUUAUUAGGGGAGAACAAAUGUGUAAGUAACUAUGCACGUCUUGACGGUACCUAAUCAGAAAGCCACGGCUAACUACGUG